GACGAACGCUGGCGGCGUGCCUAAUACAUGCAAGUAGAACGCUGAAGGAGGAGCUUGCUUCUCCGGAUGAGUUGCGAACGGGUGAGUAACGCGUAGGUAACCUGCCUGGUAGCGGGGGAUAACUAUUGGAAACGAUAGCUAAUACCGCAUAACAGUAGAUAUUGCAUGAUAUCUGCUUGAAAGGUGCAAUUGCAUCACUACCAGAUGGACCUGCGUUGUAUUAGCUAGUUGGUGAGGUAACGGCUCACCAAGGCGACGAUACAUAGCCGACCUGAGAGGGUGAUCGGCCACACUGGGACUGAGACACGGCCCAGACUCCUACGGGAGGCAGCAGUAGGGAAUCUUCGGCAAUGGGGGCAACCCUGACCGAGCAACGCCGCGUGAGUGAAGAAGGUUUUCGGAUCGUAAAGCUCUGUUGUAAGAGAAGAACGAGUGUGAGAGUGGAAAGUUCGCACUGUGACGGUAACUUACCAGAAAGGGACGGCUAACUACGUGCCAGCAGCCGCGGUAAUACGUAGGUCCCGAGCGUUAUCCGGAUUUAUUGGGCGUAAAGCGAGCGCAGGCGGUUAGAUAAGUCUGAAGUUAAAGGCUGUGGCUUAACCAUAGUACGCUUUGGAAACUGUUUAACUUGAGUGCAAGAGGGGAGAGUGGAAUUCCAUGUGUAGCGGUGAAAUGCGUAGAUAUAUGGAGGAACACCGGUGGCGAAAGCGGCUCUCUGGCUUGUAACUGACGCUGAGGCUCGAAAGCGUGGGGAGCAAACAGG
rnacentral:rRNA from 1 species